GAUGAACGCUGGCGGCGUGCCUAAUACAUGCAAGUCGAGCGAACAGACGAGGAGCUUGCUCCUCUGACGUUAGCGGCGGACGGGUGAGUAACACGUGGAUAACCUACCUAUAAGACUGGGAUAACUUCGGGAAACCGGAGCUAAUACCGGAUAAUAUAUUGAACCGCAUGGUUCAAUAGUGAAAGACGGUUUUGCGGUCACUUAUAGAUGGAUCCGCGCCGCAUUAGCUAGUUGGUAAGGUAACGGCUUACCAAGGCAACGAUGCGUAGCCGACCUGAGAGGGUGAUCGGCCACACGGGAACUGAGACGCGGUCCAGACGCCUACGGGAGGCAGCAGUAGGGAAUCUUCCGCAAUGGGCGAAAGCCUGACGGAGCAACGCCGCGUGAGUGAUGAAGGUCUUCGGAUCGUAAAACUCUGUUAUUAGGGAAGAACAAAUGUGUAAGUAACUAUGCACGUCUUGACGGUACCUAAUCAGAAAGCCACGGCUAACUACGUG
rnacentral:rRNA from 1 species